rfam:Nicotiana attenuata strain TT chromosome 7, whole genome shotgun sequence.
UGGACAAGUUAUUGUAUUCGACUGUAUUCACGGCGUGAAACAUGGGAUUACACUGUUUUUAAACGGAAAGUGAAUCAAUUAACAUAAUAGACUCCU